GCCUCGGUAGCUCAGUUGGUAAGAGCGAUCGCCUUGUAUCCCUAGCAGGAAAGCGAUAGGUCGUGGGUUCGAAUCCCUCCCGGGGCU
rnacentral:tRNA from 1 species